CUGGGGAUAUUUAAAUGAAGUUAUGAAGUCAGGAUACGUAAAUUUACGUCUUAUCCUUUCAUAGGUUCUUGAUUUGUAACCG
rnacentral:pre_miRNA from 1 species